AAGAGAGGCUGAUGAUGUCACACAAGAAGCUGGAGGAGUAUGAGCAGCGGCUGAUGUCACAGGAAGAGCAGACCAGUAAGAUCCUGAUGCAAUACCAGAACAGACUGGAGAACAGCGAGAGGAAAACUGAGGAUGCAACAGCAGGAAAAGGGACUCACAGAUCAAAGGAAUCAUCAGCAGGCUGAUGGCAGUGGAAGAUGAGAUCCGCAAAGACCACGUGCCGACCCCGCCCCGCAUGCUCGACGCUCAGGUUUCUGAACAGUGGAAACUCUCAUUCCCCCCCCCUGUAUGAUGACGAGAUACGGUGAUUUCCCUAGGCGAGGCGACCCUCGAUAAUACCUCAGCGCGCAGCGCCACGCCCACACAGGAUGAGCAGUUUCCCCCCCUGGGUUCUUCAAACGCCCGUCUGAUGAUGCUGGCGGCUCUGCAGGGUAAAGAGCGGAGUGGAUCGGGACUGGGAUCGGGAAUGGGAGGAGCCUCGUCUUCACAGGAGCCAUGGAAUGGG